UGGAUUCCAAAUGUGAAUGAUGGAGCAUCAAUUGGUGCAUGUAAUGGAUGUAAAUGUUGUCUAAAAUCUAAUGAGUGAAGGGAACAAGAGGUAUCAAGCAAUUGAGUGUAAUAAUUAAAUGAAUUAAAGCAUGAAAUUAGAAAUUAUGUAGGGGACAAGAGUGAUCAAGCAUGGCAUGGAAUCCAAAGGGAAUUCUAUGUGGUUUGCAUGGCAAGGAAUGCAAGUUGGGGUGACAGAUUUUUGGGCU
rnacentral:lncRNA from 1 species